rnacentral:lncRNA from 1 species
ACUCUAUCUAAUAUUGUUUAUAUAUCAUGAACUGCUAAAGUGUUGGACAUAGGUUGGAAAUGUAUCUCAUAGAUCUUGGUUCUCUUAGUGUCUUCGAAAAUGGCAUUGUUCAAGGCACCACUGCCUACUCAGUCUGGGUAGCCUCUUAGCAGACCAGAGGGUGUUGGGGAUGUGUUUCCUACAAGUGCCUCCCAGGGCAUAGAGCAGGCCAGAGAAGGAAGCAGAGAUUCAAAUUAGCACUAACCAGUACUAGUAUCUUAUUUAAGAGAGUUGAAGGUCAUUUCUCAUUGACAUUAGGGAUUUUGCCUAUUUUAUUCACUAAUGAGCUGGGGAGCUCGGCUGUGUCUCUUAAUGCUGAAUUGUCUUGGAAACCAUUUACGUUAGUUGCCCUAAUUUUUUUUUUUUUUUUUUUUUUGGCCGAGUCUUACUCUGUCACCCAGGCUGGAGUGCAGUGGUGCAAUCUCAGCUCACUGCAACCUCCGCCUCCCACGUGCAGGUGAUUCUCCUGCCUCAGCUUCCCUAGUAGCUGGGACUACAGGUGUGUACCACCACACCUGGCUAAUUUUUUGUACUUUUUAGUAAAGAGGGGGUUUCAUCCUGUUGGCGAGGCUGGUCUUAAACUCCUGACUUCAGGUGAUCUGCCCACCUUGGCCUCCCAAAGUGCUGGGAUUACAGGUGUGAGCCACCAUGCCUGGCCUAGUUGCCCUAGUUAAUUGCUGGAUAUCUUUUCUACCAACUUGAUUUCUAUUGUGAAAUUCUGGGUCCUCACAUAAUUCAUGGGUAUUCUGUUCCAUUGUCCUCUCAUGCCUGUCUUAGGAACACUGAAUUGCAGCUAUUUCCAGUUAACUUACAGGAUGUUUAUUUUUUAUUUUUAAAAUACUUUCUGAGCACCUACUCUCUGCCAGCAUCCUGCUAAAUAUUGUAGAAACAGAGAUGAAUAAAAAAGACAAACCCUGUCUUGAAGAAGCUUUUAGUCUAGGAGGAGACACAGACAAAUAUUUGAUUAUUGUAUUAGUUGGCGUAAGUUACAACAAACAACCCCCAAACCUCUGUGGCUUAACAUAAAAAUUUACUUCUCUUCUAUUAAUAGGAUAUAUGUGGUUCGUAGGGUAACUCAGCUCCACAGUACAUUGGGGACCCAGACCUUUGCAUCCUAUUGGAGGAUUCUGAAGAGUAGGAAUGAAGCUGAAGAGUAGAAGUAGAAUCUG